rnacentral:rRNA from 1 species
UGGCGAAGGCAGGUCUCUGGGCCGUUACUGACGCUGAGGAGCGAAAGCGUGGGGAGCGAACAGGAUUAGAUACCCUGGUAGUCCACGCCGUAAACGGUGGAUGCUGGAUGUGGGGCCCGUUCCACGGGUUCCGUGUCGGAGCUAACGCGUUAAGCAUCCCGCCUGGGGAGUACGGCCGCAAGGCUAAAACUCAAAGAAAUUGACGGGGGCCCGCACAAGCGGCGGAGCAUGCGGAUUAAUUCGAUGCAACGCGAAGAACCUUACCUGGGCUUGACAUGUUCCCGACGGUCGUAGAGAUACGGCUUCCCUUCGGGGCGGGUUCACAGGUGGUGCAUGGUCGUCGUCAGCUCGUGUCGUGAGAUGUUGGGUUAAGUCCCGCAACGAGCGCAACCCUCGCCCCGUGUUGCCAGCGGAUUAUGCCGGGAACUCACGGGGGACCGCCGGGGUUAACUCGGAGGAAGGUGGGGAUGACGUCAGAUCAUCAUGCCCCUUACGUCCAGGGCUUCACGCAUGCUACAAUGGCCGGUACAACGGGAUGCGACGCGGCGACGCGGAGCGGAUCCCUGAAAACCGGUCUCAGUUCGGAUCGCAGUCUGCAACUCGACUGCGUGAAGGCGGAGUCGCUAGUAAUCGCGAAUCAGCCACGUCGCGGUGAAUGCGUUCCCGGGCCUUGUACACCCCGCCCGUCAAGUCAUGAAAGUGGGCAGCACCCGAAGCCGGUGGCCUAACCCCUGGGGGGAUGGAGCCGUCUAAGGUGAGGCUCGUGAUUGGGACUAAGUCGUAACAAGGUAGCCGUACCGGAAGGUGCGGCUGGAUCACCUCCUUU